rnacentral:rRNA from 1 species
GAUGAACGCUGGCGGCGUGCCUAAUACAUGCAAGUCGAGCGAACAGACGAGGAGCUUGCUCCUCUGACGUUAGCGGCGGACGGGUGAGUAACACGUGGAUAACCUACCUAUAAGACUGGGAUAACUUCGGGAAACCGGAACUAAUACCGGAUAAUAUAUUGAACCGCAUGGUUCAAUAGUGAAAGACGGUUUUGCUGUCACUUAUAGAUGUAUCCGCGCCGCAUUAGCUAGUUGGUAAGGUAACGGCUUACCAAGGCAACGAUGCGUAGCCGACCUGAGAGGGUGAUCGGCCACCCGGGAAGUGAGACACGGUCCAGACUCCUACGGGAGGCAGCAGUAGGGAAUCUGCCGCAAUGGGCGAAAGCCUGACGGAGCAACGCCGCGUGAGUGAUGAAGGUCUUCGGAUCGUAAAACUCUGUUAUUAGGGAAGAACAAAUGUGUAAGUAACUAUGCACGUCUUGACGGUACCUAAUCAGAAAGCCACGGCUAACUACGUG